rnacentral:lncRNA from 1 species
AUCGUACUGAAAAUCGGUAGCUGUCACUGGUGCGGCGCUGCUCAGAAGGCCCCAUCGGCGAGCUCAAAGGAGCUUGAGACUGUCGCCAUCCCCUCCGCAGAGGAAAGAUGGUUGAAGCAGAUCGCCCAGGAAAGCUCUUUAUUGGUGGGCUUAAUACAGAAACAAAUGAGAAAGCCCUGGAGGCAGUGUUUGGCAAAUAUGGACGAAUAGUGGAAGUGCUUUUGAUGAAGGACCGAGAAACCAAUAAGUCAAGAGGAUUUGCUUUUGUCACAUUUGAAAGCCCAGCAGAUGCAAAGGAUGCUGCCAGAGACAUGAAUGGAAAGUCCUUAGAUGGAAAAGCCAUCAAGGUGGAGCAAGCCACCAAACCAUCAUUUGAAAGUGGCAGACGUGGACUACCUCCACCUCCAAGAAGCAGAGGCCCUCCCAGAGGUCUUCGAGGAGGAAGAGGGGGAAGUGGAGGAACCAGAGGACCCCCAUCACGGGGAGGACACAUGGAUGAUGGUGGCUACUCCAUGAAUUUUACUUUGAGUUCUUCCAGAGGACCUCUUCCAGUAAAAAGAGGACCACCACCAAGAAGUGGAGGUCCUCCUCCUAAAAGAUCAGCACCUUCAGGACCAGUUCGCAGCAGCAGUGGAAUGGGAGGAAGAG